CCAGACUCCUACGGGAGGCAGCAGUGGGGGAUAUUGGACAAUGGGGGAAACCCUGAUCCGGCGACGCCGCGUGAGUGAAGAAGUAUUUCGGUAUGUAAAGCUCUGUCAGCAGGGAAGAAAGAAAUGACGGUACCUGACCAAGAAGCCCCGACUAACUACGUGCCAGCAGCCGCGGUAAUACGUAGGGGGCAAGCGUUAUCCGGAUUUACUGGGUGUAAAGGGAGCGUAGACGGCGAUGCAAGCCAGAUGUGAAAGCCCGGGGCUCAACCCCGGGACUGCAUUUGGAACUGUGUGGCUGGAGUGUCGGAGAGGCAGGCGGAAUUCCUAGUGUAGCGGUGAAAUGCGUAGAUAUUAGGAGGAACACCAGUGGCGAAGGCGGCCUGCUGGACGACAACUGACGGUGAGGCGCGAAAGCGUGGGGAGCAAACAGGAUUAGAUACCCGAGUAU
rnacentral:rRNA from 1 species